rnacentral:rRNA from 1 species
UGGCGGAAUGCUUUCACAUGCAAGUCGAACGGUAGAGGGGGCAACCCCUUGAGAGUGGCGAACGGGUGAGUAAUAUAUCGGAACGUGCCCAGUCGUGGGGGAUAACGUAGUGAAAAUUACGCUAAUACCGCAUACGAUCUAAGGAUGAAAGCGGGGGAUCGCAAGACCUCGCGCGACUGGAGCGGCCGAUAUCAGAUUAGGUAGUUGGUAGGGUAAAGGCCUACCAAGCCAACGAUCUGUAGCUGGUCUGAGAGGACGACCAGCCACACUGGAACUGAGACACGGGUCCAGACUCCUACGGGAGGCAGCAGUGGGGAAUUUUGGACAAUGGGCGAGAGCCUGAUCCAGCCAUUCCGCGUGCAGGAUGAAGGCCCUCGGGUUGUAAACUGCUUUUGUACAGAACGAAAAGGUUUCUAUUAAUACUAGGAGCUCAUGACGGUACUGUAAGAAUAAGCACCGGCUAACUACGUGCCAGCAGCCGCGGUAAUACGUAGGGUGCAAGCGUUAAUCGGAAUUACUGGGCGUAAAGCGUGCGCAGGCGGUUAUAUAAGUCAGAUGUGAAAUCCCCGGGCUCAACCUGGGAACUGCAUUUGAGACUGUAUAGCUAGAGUACGGUAGAGGGGGAUGGAAUUCCGCGUGUAGCAGUGAAAUGCGUAGAUAUGCGGAGGAACACCGAUGGCGAAGGCAAUCCCCUGGACCUGUACUGACGCUCAUGCACGAAAGCGUGGGGAGCAAACAGGAUUAGAUACCCUGGUAGUCCACGCCCUAACGAUGUCAACU